rnacentral:misc_RNA from 1 species
UGCUUGAUUUAAAUUUAACAACAGAAAGAAAAGCUGCUGAUGUGAUAGAAGAAUUUGUAUAACAUUUAUUGUCACAAAAUAUAUAAUAUCUUGUUAUGUUUGUAAAUAUAAAAGAUAUAGAUUAAAUCAUAUUAUUCGCUAGUCUUUAAUUCUCUAACUGUAUAUACAGACCAUUUGGAUUUGCAGGAUGAUAUGAAAUGCUCCAAUUUUAAUGUUAUAGCCAAAAAAAGCUGAGUUUGUAUGACAAAGUUGCAGUCAUUAAAAAAUUGUGCUCAAAUCAUUUUGAAGUGAGGUUUCUAAGAAAUAUAUAUAAAAUUUGUAAUAAGUUAUCUUACAUAUAUGUAUUUGGAUGAAAUGUGUUAACGUUUUGUUAGUUCAUUUUUUUUUCAAUUUUUCUUUAAUGAUUUUGGCGAAUAAUCUUUGCGAUCAUUUAUUAUCAGUUGAUUUCUGUUUGUUGAGACCUCAGGUCUUCUUUACAAAGAGUUGGAAACAACAAGAACGUUUUAUACCAUUGUUGAAUUUUUAUGAACUUAUUUUAUAUACUUUAUAUAUAUAUACUAUAUGUGAAAAAAAAUUGAAAUAAAGGUUGUAUUUUUUAUUUUUUUUAAAUUUUCAAGAAUGCUUUGCUGGAAAAACUAUGAAAUAUUUAGUUGAAGGAUAAUGAUGAACAUUAUGCCAAUUAUUACUGAUCUGUUAAAGAAAAUGGGAUAUUUUUUUUAAAACCUUGUUCCUUGUGAAUGUACAUUACUUUCAUUAUUACACUGUGAUCAAAAGGAGAAAUAUUCUAACAAUUCGAAGUACAUAUUCUUGUAUUUUUUGUGUUACAAGAAAGCAGCCAGUCGAAGGCUAGAUCUGAAGUGACUGUACCGUUACAAUGAGAAAUAAAAGAUGAUACGUUAUGAUUGAAGUAAACAUGGUUUUAAUAAAACAUCCCAGAAUCUCUCCCCCAUUCUUUGUAUUGGCAUAUCUUGAUAUCUUUUUUAAAAACGUUGUAUUCCAUUACACAAAUAUGUCUUUGUUAUCAUUACAUGUGCAAUGCAUUUAUGAUUGAAUCAAAAGGGCUUUGUUUUCUUUCUAGCCUUGCUAUGAACAAAAAUAAGCAUCCCGUUUACAAUUUGAUUACAGCAUGUAGAUGUCGCUGUGCCUGAUGUGACAACUGCCUUUUCUUUGUCCUGCUUGUAGCUAUCACUGCAUGUACUGAUUUAAUGCUUCAGGUGUCAUCAGCUGCAUAAUAAAAGAGAACUUUAU